AAUCAAUAUUUUUCUCAUGAAGACGUGUUUUUGUGGCACCUGUACUAUGUACAUAGUAUAUAUGUACCCCCUAUUUAUUUCUGAUGAAACAUCCGUUAUCCAACUCUGUGUGGUCGUAAGUACAUAUUAUGUACAAUAUACAUACAUACAUAUAUGCUAACAGGGAAGACUCAAAAUGAAAUUAUGAGAAGGGUGGAAUAGGAAUAUGUUUUGUAAGAGUGUUUUGUUUUCUUAAACAGGGAUUCCCUUAGAAAGUUUUUGCUUUUGGAAUGUGUGGCCUACAGAUUUUUAUUUUACCAUAUUUAAAAUUCCAAUCUAAUAUUACAUUCAAGAGAUGUGACUCAAUGUUGAUAAAUGGAUCUUAUUUUAUUUUGAUAUUGGA
rnacentral:lncRNA from 1 species